AGUUAAUGAGCUUGAGAUAAGCAUAUGUUUUGAAAACAUAAGAUAAAACGACAAAAUUUUAUUAACUU
rnacentral:tRNA from 1 species